rnacentral:tRNA from 1 species
UGGCUGAGCGGUAAAGCGCUUGGCUUCUAAACCAGGGGCCCGGGUUUGAAUCCUGG